AAAUGCGAUAAGUAGUGUGAAUUGCAGAAUUCAGUGAAUCAUCGAAUCUUUGAACGCACAUUGCGCCCCUUGGUAUUCCAUGGGGCAUGCCUGUUCGAGCGUCAUUUGUACCCUCAAGCUCUGCUUGGUGUUGGGUGUUUGUCCCCGUCUCCGCGCGUGGACUCGCCCCAAGGUGAUUGGCAGCCGGCGUACUGGUCCCGGAGCGCAGCACAUGUCGCGCAAACGAGUGCCUUGGUACGGCGGCGUCCAUAAGCCCCUCUCUCACGCUCUUGACCUCGGAUCAGGUAGGGAUACCCGCUGAACUUAAGC
rnacentral:misc_RNA from 1 species